rnacentral:rRNA from 1 species
CGGCUCUCUGGUCUGCAACUGACGCUGAGGCUCGAAAGCAUGGGUAGCGAACAGGAUUAGAUACCCUGGUAGUCCAUGCCGUAAACGAUGAGUGCU